AGUGAACGCUGGCGGCAGGCCUAACACAUGCAAGUCGAACGGCAGCACCGUAAGAGCUUGCUCUUACGGGUGGCGCGUGGCGGACGGGUGAGGAAUACAUCGGAAUCUACUUCUUCGUGGGGGAUAACGUAGGGAAACUUACGCUAAUACCGCAUACGACCUACGGGUGCAAGCAGGGGAUCUUCGGACUUUUUGCGAUUGAAUGAGCCGAUGUCGGCUUAGCUAGUUAGCGGGGUAAAGGCCUACCAAGGCGACGCUCCGUAACUGGUAUGACAGGGUGAACAAACAGACUGUAAGAGAGAAACAGUCCACACACCUACAGGGAGCAGCAGCGGAGAAUAUUGGACAAUGGGCGCAAGCCUAAUCCAGCCAAACCGCGUGGGUCAAGAAGGACUUCUGGUUGGAAAGCCCUUUUGUUAGGAAGGAAAAGCAGCACGUUAAUACCCCGCUGUUCUGACGGUACCCAAAGAAUAAGCACCGGCUAACUUCGUG
rnacentral:rRNA from 1 species